UACGUAGGGUGCGAGCGUUGUCCGGAAUUAUUGGGCGUAAAGAGCUCGUAGGCGGUGUGUCACGUCGGCCGUGAAAACCUGGGGCUUAACUCUGGGCGUGCGGUCGAUACGGGCAUCACUAGAGUUCGGCAGGGGAGACUGGAAUUCCUGGUGUAGCGGUGAAAUGCGCAGAUAUCAGGAGGAACACCGGUGGCGAAGGCGGGUCUCUGGGCCUUACCUGACGCUGAGGAGCGAAAGCGUGGGUAGCGAGCAGG
rnacentral:rRNA from 1 species